AAUGAACGUUGGCGGCGUGGAUUAGGCAUGCAAGUCGUGCGGUAAGGCCCCUUCGGGGGUACACGAGCGGCGAAAGGGAGAGUAACGCGUGGACAACCUACCCUCGGGUCUGGGAUAGCUGCGGGAAACUGCGGGUAAUACCGGAUAACGUCUGAGAACCAAAGGUGCGAUUCCGCCUGGGGACGGGUCCGCGUCCUAUUAGCUUGUUGGUGAGGUAACGGCUCACCAAGGCGACGAUGGGUACCGGGUGUGAGAGCAUGACCCGGCUCACUGGGACUGAGACACUGCCCAGACACCUACGGGUGGCUGCAGUCGAGAAUCUUCGGCAAUGGGCGCAAGCCUGACCGAGCGACGCCGCGUGUGGGAUGAAGGCCUUCGGGUUGUAAACCGCUGUCAGUUGGGAGGAAAUGCAUAGGGGUCCUCUCCUAUGUUUGACCUAUCUUCAGAGGAAGGACGGGCUAAGUUCGUG
rnacentral:rRNA from 1 species